rnacentral:rRNA from 1 species
GACGAACGCUGGCGGCGUGCUUAACACAUGCAAGUCGAACGGAAAGGCCCUGCUUUUGUGGGGUGCUCGAGUGGCGAACGGGUGAGUAACACGUGAGUAACCUGCCCUUGACUUUGGGAUAACUUCAGGAAACUGGGGCUAAUACCGGAUAGGAGCUCCUGCUGCAUGGUGGGGGUUGGAAAGUUUCGGCGGUUGGGGAUGGACUCGCGGCUUAUCAGCUUGUUGGUGGGGUAGUGGCUUACCAAGGCUUUGACGGGUAGCCGGCCUGAGAGGGUGACCGGCCACAUGGGGACUGAGAUACGGCCCAGACUCCUACGGGAGGCAGCAGUGGGGAAUAUUGCACAAUGGGCGGAAGCCUGAUGCAGAAACGCCGCGUGCGGGAUGACGGCCUUCGGGUUGUAAACCGCUUUCGACUGUGACGAAGCGUGAGUGACGGUAAUGGGUAAAGAAGCACCGGCUAACUACGUG